UACGGAGGGUGCGAGCGUUGUUCGGAAUCACUGGGCGUAAAGCGCGUGUAGGCGGCCCAUUAAGUCUGAUGUGAAAGCCCGGGGCUCACCCCCGGAAGUGCAUUGGAAACUGAUGGACUCGAGUCCCGGAGAGGAGAGUGGAAUUCCUGGUGUAGCGGUGAAAUGCGUAGAUAUCAGGAGGAACACCGGUGGCGAAGGCGGCUCUCUGGACGGUGACUGACGCUGAGGCGCGAAAGCUAGGGGAGCAAACGGG
rnacentral:rRNA from 1 species